rnacentral:rRNA from 1 species
UUCGCAAUGCCCGAAAGGGUGACGAAGCGACGCCGCGUGUAGGAAGAAGGCCUUCGGGUUGUAAACCACUGUCGGGAGUUAAGAAAUGCAAGGGUGCUAAUAGUAUCCUUGCUUGACUAAGGCUCCGGAGGAAGCCACGGCUAACUCUGUGCCAGCAGCCGCGGUAAUACAGAGGCGGCAAGCGUUGUUCGGAAUUAUUGGGCGUAAAGAGCACGUAGGCGGCUAUGUAAGUCGGUUGUGAAAGCCUUCCGCUCAACGGAAGAACAGCAUCCGAUACUGCAUGGCUUGAGUGCGGGAGGGGAGAGUGGAACUUCUGGUGGAGAGGUGGAAUGCGUAGAUAUCAGAAGGAACGCCGGCGGCGAAAGCGGCUCUCUGGCCCAUAACUGACGCUGAGUGUGCGAAAGCUAGGGGAGCAAACGGGAUUAGAUACCCCGGUAGUCCUAGCCGUAAACGAUGGGCACUAAGUAGAGGGGUUUU